rnacentral:rRNA from 1 species
GACGAACGCUCGUUGCGUGCUUAACACAUGCAAGUCGAACGAUGAAGCCUAGCUUGCUAGGUGGAUUAGUGGCGAACGGGUGAGUAAUACGUGAGUAACCUACCUUUAACUCUGGGAUAAGCCUGGGAAACUGGGUCUAAUACCGGAUACGACCAAUCUCCGCAUGGGGUGUUGGUGGAAAGCGUUAUGUAGUGGUUAUAGAUGGGCUCACGGCCUAUCAGCUUGUUGGUGAGGUAACGGCUCACCAAGGCGACGACGGGUAGCCGGCCUGAGAGGGUGACCGGCCACACUGGGACUGAGACACGGCCCAGACUCCUACGGGAGGCAGCAGUGGGGAAUAUUGCACAAUGGGCGCAAGCCUGAUGCAGCGACGCCGCGUGAGGGAUGACGGCCUUCGGGUUGUAAACCUCUGUUAGCAGGGAAGAAGAGAGAUUGACGGUACCUGCAGAGAAAGCGCCGGCUAACUACGUGCCAGCAGCCGCGGUAAUACGUAGGGCGCGAGCGUUGUCCGGAAUUAUUGGGCGUAAAGAGCUUGUAGGCGGUUUGUCGCGUCUGCUGUGAAGGCCGGAGCUUAACUCCGUGUAUUGCAGUGGGUACGGGCAGACUAGAGUGCAGUAGGGGAGACUGGAAUUCCUGGUGUAGCGGUGGAAUGCGCAGAUAUCAGGAGGAACACCGAUGGCGAAGGCAGGUCUCUGGGCUGUAACUGACGCUGAGAAGCGAAAGCAUGGGGAGCGAACAGGAUUAGAUACCCUGGUAGUCCAUGCCGUAAACGUUGGGCACUAGGUGUGGGGAACAUUCCACGUUUUCCGCGCCGUAGCUAACGCAUUAAGUGCCCCGCCUGGGGAGUACGGCCGCAAGGCUAAAACUCAAAGAAAUUGACGGGGGCCCGCACAAGCGGCGGAGCAUGCGGAUUAAUUCGAUGCAACGCGAAGAACCUUACCAAGGCUUGACAUAUACUGGACCGCAUCAGAGAUGGUGUUUCCCUUCGGGGCUGGUAUACAGGUGGUGCAUGGUUGUCGUCAGCUCGUGUCGUGAGAUGUUGGGUUAAGUCCCGCAACGAGCGCAACCCUCGUUCUAUGUUGCCAGCACGUAAUGGUGGGGACUCAUAGGAGACUGCCGGGGUCAACUCGGAGGAAGGUGGGGAUGACGUCAAAUCAUCAUGCCCCUUAUGUCUUGGGCUUCACGCAUGCUACAAUGGCCGGUACAGAGGGUUGCGAUACUGUGAGGUGGAGCUAAUCCCUAAAAGCCGGUCUCAGUUCGGAUUGGGGUCUGCAACUCGACCCCAUGAAGUCGGAGUCGCUAGUAAUCGCAGAUCAGCAACGCUGCGGUGAAUACGUUCCCGGGCCU